UACGUAGGGUGCAAGCGUUGUCCGGAAUCAUUGGGCGUAAAGAGCGUGUAGGCGGCUCGAUUAGUCCGCUGUAAAAGUCCAGGGCUCAACCCUGGGAUGCCGGUGGAAACUGUCGGGCUAGAGUCCGGGAGAGGCGAGUGGAAUUCCUGGUGUAGCGGUGAAAUGCGCAGAUAUCAGGAGGAACACCGAUGGCGAAGGCAGAUCUCUGGGCCGUAACUGACGCUGAGGAGCGAAAGCGUGGGGAGCGAACAGG
rnacentral:rRNA from 1 species